CAUGAACUGGAAUUUUCCCCAAAGUGCUCCAAUCCAUCACGGGACAACAGCGGGCCAACCAUCCAUACAUCAUUUUUGAGCUGGGGGUGGACCUGGAAGAGAGAGAGUGAGGUGGUUUUGUCGGGUUAUGUGAAGUGUGUUUCGGCAGCAAUGCAGUUUCAGAUGAUGGAAAGCUGAUGAGAUGUAGAUGAUCGGUCCUUCAGCAGACCCCUCUGUACUGGAUAGAAAGUCAGAUUCAGUAAGAUUGUUUGAAUCUUUGAUCUUGAGUUCUUUCUCAUUUUCUUCUGAUGUGUUUUACUUUUGCAUUCAUGCAUUAUGCAGACGCUUUUAUCUGAAGCGACUCACAACGGAUUCAAUACAUUUGAUCAGUAUUUGCGCACCCAUGACCUUGCGCUCUGUAGCGCUCUAGCA